GACGUAGGGCGCGAGCGUUGUCCGGAUUUAUUGGGCGUAAAGAGCUCGUAGGCGGCUUGUUGCGUCGACUGUGAAAACCCGCGGCUUAACCGCGGGCCUGCAGUUGAUACGGGCAGACUAGAGUGCGGUAGGGGAGACUGGAAUUCCGGGUGGAGUGGUGAAAUGCGUAGAGAUCCGGAGGAACACCAGUGGCGAAGGCGGUCUGCUAGCCCACACCUGACACUCAGACGCGAAAGCAUGGGGAGCGAACGGG
rnacentral:rRNA from 1 species